UAAUGCCCCCAAUUAUACCAAC
rnacentral:miRNA from 1 species